rnacentral:misc_RNA from 1 species
UCUCCCGUGAGGGAGCAGUCUCGCCUGACACUUAUAACAGGCAACGAGGGUUGCGUUCGUUUCCCCACUUAAGGGAACAACUCAAGCCACGAACUGACGACGGCCAUGCAUCACCUGCCAUACACCCUCGAAGGCUUCCUCCCUUUCAGGAGGCGUGCAGUAUGGUUUCUAGCCUUGGUAAGGUUUUUCGCUUAACUACGAAUUAAGCCACGCGCUCCACCGCUUGUGCGAGCCCCCGUCUAUUCCUUUGAGUUUUAAGCUUGCGCUCGUACUACCCAGGCGGUCCGCUUACUGCGUUAGCUUCGCCACUAAGAGGGUCGAUACUCCUAAUAGCUAGCGGACAACGUUUAGGGCGUAGACUAC